CAGUAGCCGCGGUAAUACGUAGGGUGCGAGCGUUAAUCGGAAUUACUGGGCGUAAAGCGUGCGCAGGCGGUUGUGUAAGACAGGUGUGAAAUCCCCGGGCUUAACCUGGGAACUGCGUUUGUGACUGCACAGCUAGAGUAUGGCAGAGGGGGGUGGAAUUCCACGUGUAGCAGUGAAAUGCGUAGAGAUGCGGAGGAACACCGAUGGCGAAGGCAAUCCCCUGGGCCUGCACUGACGCUCAUGCACGAAAGCGUGGGGAGCAAACAGGAUUAGAUACCCCCGUAGUCCCUGUCUCUUAUAC
rnacentral:rRNA from 1 species